UACGUAGGGUGCGAGCGUUGUCCGGAAUUAUUGGGCGUAAAGAGCUUGUAGGCGGUCUGUCGCGUCUGCUGUGAAAAUCCGGGGCCCAACCCCGGACUUGCAGUGGGUACGGGCAGACUAGAGUGUGGUAGGGGAGACUGGAAUUCCUGGUGUAGCGGUGAAAUGCGCAGAUAUCAGGAGGAACACCGAUGGCGAAGGCAGGUCUCUGGGCCACUACUGACGCUGAGAAGCGAAAGCAUGGGGAGCGAACAGG
rnacentral:rRNA from 1 species